GGACCCAUGCACCCCCCUCUCUUCAUCUUCUUCGUUCACCCCCUCCCCACGAAACCCCAUAGACCCCCCCUCCUCCGCUCACCACUAUCCAGCCCCCUCCCCGUCCAUUUUUCUUUUCCGUCGUCGGACCACCCAAGCCAACCUACUAUCACGCCGGACAGACCCUCAACCAGCAGCGGUGAUCGUGGUCUGCCAUUGACGAGCAGCAGCGCUGCUGCAUCGACCAGUCAUGCUGCCUCGUCGUCCACCACCAGCAGCUUCAUCUCAUCAUCGAGGUCGUCCACCAGCAACAGCGUUAACCAUCGUUGAGGUCGUCCACCAGUAGCAACUUCGUCGACCAACCACGAACAGCCAUCGACGACCAACUCCCCAUGGCUGCUGCUCCUUUUUCUUCUUCAUCCCCAGCUCAACCAUGAACGACCACCCAACGUCCAAACUCAGCUGCUGUCUCGUCUUUCUUCAGGUUCAAUCCGUCGAGGUCGUCGUUUGUCAUUCUGAGUUCGUCGAGGUUAAAAAGAGAAGGUGGGUUUUUUUUCGUUGAGUCGAGAUCCGGUACGUCGAGGUUGUUGUCCCAGUUUCUGUUCCGUUGUGGUCAUUUCCGGUUAGUUGGUUUAAGUUUCAUUUCUGACCGUAUUUUGUUUGAUAUUCUCGGAUCUAAAAUCAGUAUAUGUUUGAUUCUUUUGUUGUUCGUUGUUUAUCAUUUCUUGAUUAUUUCUUCUGUUUGUUUUAUGUUCUUGUUUAGUUUUAAUAUAGAAAUGUUUAGUUUAAUCAUGUUGUUAGAUUUAAUUUAAAGUUCAAUUGAUUAUUGAGUUUAGUGAUUUGAAUCUACUUAUUUGUUAUGUUCAAUUUAUUACUGUUAUUGAAUCUGAAAGUAUGUUUGUUGUUAAAAAAUAUUGUUCAGUCAAAAUGAUUUCAGUUGUCUCUUUAUUGUUCAUCAUAUGGUUUGGUUCCCUGAAUCCUGAGUCUUCGUUAUGAUAUUUGACAUAAUAUGAGUUUCUAACUUAAAUUUGUUGAUGAAAUUUAAUUAGGAAUUGGUUAUAACUGCUGUACUUUGGUUAAUUGAUUAGGUGAAUUGUAAUUUCAGUAGUUUCAGGGGCAUUUUCGGGAUUUUAAAUGAGUCUUAAAAAUAAUUAAUUUGAGUGCUCCGUCCACUAGGUACUAAUAAUAUUAAAUUAAUAUAUUUUUUAAUGCGUAGUGGGGGACAAGACAUAAUGGUGGGAAUUAAUACAUUUUUAAUACGUAGUGGGGGACAAGACAUAAUGGUGGGUAUUAAUACAUUGUUUAAAAUAGUGAGGGACAAAGCAUGCGGUAGUGAGGAAUAAUGGAAUUAAAUAAAGAAAAUAUAUGUGUUAGUGAGAACUAAUAUAUUUGUUUAAUAUAGUCGGGGACAAAACAUUAAGUAGUGGGAAGUUAAAGGGGGAUGGGUAGAAGAUGGUGGGAUUUAAUUUAAUUGCUUCAAGUUUGGCUAUAAAUAAGGGAGCUGGACACAAGUUAGGGAAAAAAAAAAGACGGAUUUUGAGAGAGAGAGAGGAGAAGACUGAAAAUUAAAAGAGAAAAGCUGAGGAAAUUGAAAAAAUAACUAUUGUUUUCAUUGCCUGGUUUAGGAUCUGAAAUACCUAGAAUUUUCUUCCUUUUACUUCUGCUAUAUACUUGGAGAAGUAUAAAACUGCUGGUUAUUUUUUGUUGCACUGCUGUUGUAACUUCUGAAUGCUACUGCUGCUGUUGGUUACUACUGAUACCUCAUUUUUCUGCUUCCUUCUUUUAUUUCCAGGUACAUUUUUUCUACCCACUGUAAAACCUUCUGUGAUAUGGGAAUCUGAAGCAUGUCGGCCAUUUAAUCUCAUUAGAAGAGUUUAAUUCUGUCUUUAUUUCAAGUUUUAGUUUGAACAGUUUGCAUUUGAAUGUUGGUCAGUGAUAAUGCUUCUAGAGGCUGAGUUUGGUUUAAAAUAGAUAUGGGAUUCGAUUUUGGUCGAAUAUUCUGUAAUCUAAAACCAGCAUUGUGUGAAUGGACAUGGUCAUAAUGAUAAAAUCUGUUUAAAAAGUCAGGACAACAUGUUUGCUUAGUUAGGUCAGUAAUGGAGUUCUGUAUAUAAUUUUGGAUAGUCAUUUGCUCAAUUAGAUAUUGAAUGAUUAAAUAUCACUAGAUAUGGUAGUUUCUGCGUAGGAGCAACGUGAUUAGUUGAGUUGUUGCGAAAUUGAAAUGGC
rnacentral:lncRNA from 1 species